rnacentral:rRNA from 1 species
UACGUAGGUGGCAAGCGUUGUCCGGAUUUACUGGGCGUAAAGAGCGCGCAGGCGGCUGGUCAAGUCCGAUGUGAAAUCUCCCGGCUUAACUGGGAAACUGCAUCGGAAACUGAUCGGCUUGAAGGUGGGAGAGGGUAGUGGAAUUCCCGGUGUAGUGGUGAAAUGCGUAGAGAUCGGGAGGAACACCCGUGGCGAAGGCGGGUCUCUGGGCAACAACUGACGCUGAGGAGCGAAAGCGUGGGGAGCGAACAGG